rnacentral:piRNA from 1 species
UGUAGCCUUGAGGAAGUAGCCAUUACCUU